GAUCCCUAAAAAUAGUAAAUGGGUACCCCAGGCCAUUUCCGUUACAAUACGUUUACUUCUCUUGGAAAAAUCUGUUUACCUCUUCAUUAAUGCUGUGAUAUACAACCGACCAUCUCCAUUUCCGCAACUGGUAAUUUAAUAAAAGAAGUCCCAACCAAAAAAAGUUACAUGUUAUCUUACGAAAUCUUGAUUCUUCAAAAAUAGAGUAACUAGAACAUUAUGAUUUUUUUGAUUAGUCUACUGUACUUCGAUUUUAAUAUUUUUCAUUAUACUGUAAAUUAAUAUAAUUGCGUCACUUCGGAUCAUGAAGUAAUAUUUCUUAAAACAGCUCUUAUGAAUUGUUUCCUACCGCAAAUCAUGUUGUGUUUUAAAGUGUUGCGUGUACAGGAUGUUGGAAAAUAUAGUAAGAACGUUAUUUAAAGAAACAAAAGCUAUUUAUUUGCGUUUUAGAAACUGAAAAUGGUUUUCGCCCGAAUUUCUGCAAUAAACUCUACUAAUUACAUCCAUUAACUUAACUUAGCGUUACAUUUUCAAAAUAUUUCCUUUUAUUUAUGAACCAUUUUGCACAAUUAAUUCACUCAAAUCGUGCAUUUUGCAUGUUACAAGAAUAAUUAGCAUGUAUUACAAGCUGAAUAUUAUCAUUAUUUUAGAUUUCUCAUGCAAACAGACCAAUUCUUGUUCAGGUACACCACUGAAUUAUAGAGUAAAACUAAUAAAAUUUGGCGGCACCAACCAAACAAUUUUUCCGCGUAGGUUAAAAACACUUAUUUUAACGUGUACCACUUGCUAAAUUUAAAGAAAACAAACAUAAAAGUUUACUAUAUGCUGUAAACCUCGUUUGCGAGUUUACACCCAACCAAUUUUUGCCAGAUCAGCGUUAUUUUUAGAAGUAAAUAUGAGGUAAACGUGGGACGUAUGAGGACACUAAAUGAAAAUACUGAUUACAGUUGAUUGCAGUUCAAUUUGAUGCCUAUAGUAUAACAGUUUGAUAAAUAUUUGGAAACUGCAUCUGCAUAUACAGGGUGAUUUUACAUAGAUCUACAUAGAAACCGAAAUUUCUGUAUGUACCAGUAGAGUUUCUCAUUAGUUAAUAUCAAUUAAUUAUAAGGACAUUUUUCUGUUGAGUGACAUUUGUUUAUUUAUUGCCUUACAGACACUCAGAAUAGGACGACAAAUCUCUCAAAAUUAGUGACCAUUAUACCAGCUUAUUUUCAGUUGUUUUGUUGUUUCAAUUUCCUAAAACAUUUCUAUUUAAUGUUUUCUUAAGUUUAAAAAAAUUAUUGUUGGAAAAAAGAAAACUUGUUAAAUGUUCUUUUUGGUGUUCAUUAACUUUAAUUCCAAAAAUUAUUGUUACAUUUUAUUUAUGUAAAAUUAAAAUGGAAUGCAUAUACCUAUAAUAUACAGGGAUGUACAUUAAACAUGUAUUAUACUGAAAAACUGGAAAAUCGGACACUCAAGUCGCUUUUACGUUAACAAUCUUGAUAAGCGACAACAAUACUACUAGUUUGCUAAUAUAAACUAUUUUGUAUCCUUAAUAACAUCAAAAUUAGCGAUGAUGAACACUUAAUUUGGAUUACUUUGUACAAUUGUGUAUGCGACAUCCUUCGAAUUUAUCUAAUACGAAUAAUCCACUAUUCUGAGACGACGAUCAUCGAUGAUGUUAGAUGUGCUUUGCAAGCAUAUGUAUAACGAACAAUUAUAUUCACACCCUAUUUAAGUAAUCCUUACGUAAAUGCGUAUUAUAAAAUAUGUAAGUAGCCAUUAAUUCUUUCACCAGGUCUUGAUAAAGAUGAUUUAUUUAAUUGCCUUCAUGGAGAGGAAUUGCUAACAAUUCUUUGUAAUGAAAUACAAUAUCACGAUUUGCAACUGGUUAAGUACAUAAACAAUUAGUCGCCGAUUUAAUAAAUGAACGUGUUAUUAGUUCGCUUUUAUAUUCAUUUUCGCUGAUACUAACAGUCCUAGUAAGAUACGCUACAUGCUUAGUCGCAGGUACAUAUAUGUAUAUGAGAAAAACAAUCUGACUAUAAAAGUUGUAAAAGUUACUUUUGUAUACGAAAUUUCGAUUCGAUCUAAACUUUCAGUCUUACUAAAUAGUUGCUUAAUUUAACCAUCUACAGUAGGCAAUUAAAUGAAUAAACUGCUACUUAAUACACGUGGUGGUGGUACAGACUGGUAGGUGCGCUGAGUAUUAUCUUACAGUGUAGGCAGGUGAUUAACAUGAAUCAAUUUGCAGAACUUUAGUAAUUUAAGUAACAUAUCGCAGAAGAAAGAUGCGACUCCAAAACAGUGACAAAGGUCGAAAGCGACUGCGUAAUUAGGGCCGGGAUUCCCGGUACUUAUAUUAUAGAUAGGCUAUUAAGAGACGUGUUUUAGCUAUCAAUUUUCCUAGUAACAAUUACAUUGUCUGCUCAUUUUGUAUGUUAAAUUGCAUUGCCCCUGAUAUUUCCUUACAAAACCAAAUGCCCUAGAAAAUGUAAACUGCUCGCUUAAUUGCUGUCAGAAUAAUUUAAUAAUUUAGUGGCAUAACUUUUUAUACCUAAUCAAUCAACAUAAUAUUGCUUUCGAGAAGACUAGGCACUGUUAGUAUAACUUAUUAUCAUUAUCGCUACGUUUUGAUCAUAAUAAAAUUCCCCAUAAUGCUGGGUUUAUACACCCAGCAUUAUAUGAGCGAGAGAGAAUAUGGAAUAAGGAUUAAGGAGUGUCAAAAGUUAAUUACACGUCAGUGCAUAAAUGUGUUUACAAACCGAAUAGUGCCUAACGCUUAAGGAAUAAGGCUUAAUAAAGUUGUCAAAUUUUAACUUUAGCGUUGUGCGUUAGGCGUUAUUCUAAUGAAGCAUGCGCAGUUUGAAAGAUAAUUGACAUUCCAAUAUCUCAAGUGACGGCCAAAACUCUUAUUUACCUUUUGUAGUAAGGUCAGAUGAACUAAAUUAUUAAACAAGAAAAAAAGAGCUACAACUUCGUUAGUGAACAAUUAAUAUGUUACCACUAUAAUGUUGACAUAAACAGAGACAACUCUAUUUUUUCUUAAACCUAUUCUUCAAUUUGAUUGGCUGUACAUAACACAAUAUUAUAUUAUUCCUUAUUCUUAUUGAUAAAAACUGCUCAAGUGGCGUUAUGGCUAAAGCGUUAUUCUUAUGUCUUAAGACUUUUCUUCUCGUGUAUGAACCCACCAUAACUGUCAGGCAAUGUAGAUAUGUAUAAGUCAUCACGAACACAAACUUAUUUGGUUAAGUAUGUUUAGGUUUGCCAUAAAGUAGAUCGGUGAAGUAGGACUUAUUUUCAAUAAAAUGAUGAAAAGCUACUAUAAGCUAUACAUAUACAUAAUAUGCACCCAACGUGAUGAUAAUCACGUGAGCAGACGUUGUAAUAAACGGCGAUAUCACGAAAUUCAUCACGUCACAUCCACGUAAUAAUCAGGGCAGUUUGUGACAAUGAAAUGACAUUUUAUGCCGUGAGUGAGUAUGACAACAACUG